AUAAAAUCCAUAGCACCUUGCUAUCAAUAGACGCCGAAAAGGCAUUUGAUAGAGUCAAUUGGUCACUAAUCACCCAAACGAUGCAACACCUGGGGUUUGGACCGCAUUGGCUUGAAUGGCUGAAUGCUAUAUAUUCAUGCCCCAUGGCCCGUCUGCAAAUUAAUGGACAACUCUCUAACACAGUGGCAUCAACAAUGGAACAAGACAAGGCUGCCC